UUCCGGUUGAUCCCGCCGGAGGCGACCGCUUUGGGAGUUCGAUUAAGCCAUGCGAGUCGUGAGUCUUAGGGACUCGGCAUACUGCUCAGUAACACGUGGAUAACCUGCCCUAUCGUCUGGAAUAACCUCGGGAAACUGAGAAUAAGGCCGGAUAGUUCACAAUGCCUGGAACGGUUUGUGAAUCAAGGUAGGAUGGGCCUGCGGCGUAUCAGGUUGUAGGGGGUGUAAAGGACCCCCUAGCCUUCGACGCGUACGGGUGUUGGGAGACAUAGCCCGGAGAUGGAUUCUGAGACACGAAUCCAGACCCUACGGGGUGCAGCAGGCGCGAAAACUUCACACUGCAGGAAACUGUGAUGAGGGAACUCCUAGUGCAUGCACUAUGUGUAUGUAGAUCCUACUCUUAACAAGUAGAGGGAAAGGGCUGGGAAAGACCGGUGCCAGCCGCCGCGGUAAUACCGGCAGCUCAAGUGGUCGUCGCUUUUAUUGGGCCUAAAACGUCCGUAGCCUGUUUGGUAAGUCUGUGGGUAAAUCAAUCCGCUCAACGGAUUGAAUUCUGCAGAGACUGCCAGACUAGGGACCGGGAGAGGUGUGGGGUACUCGAGGGGUAGGGGUAAAAUCCUGUCAUCCUUCGAGGACCACCAGUUGCGAAGGCGCCACACUGGAACGGAUCCGACGGUCAGGGACGAAGCCUAGGGGCACGAACCGGAUUAGAUACCCGGGUAGUCCUAGGUGUAAACGCUGUGAACUUGGUGUCGGGGGUCCGCAAGGGGUCCCCGGUGCCGGAGUGAAGAUGUUAAGUUCACUGCCUGGGGAGUACGGUCGCAAGGCUGAAACUUAAAGGAAUUGGCGGGGCAGCAC
rnacentral:rRNA from 1 species